CUGGAUUGUUAAGUUGUGUACUGUAGGCUAAGCCUGUUUGUCAAGUUACCAGUUUGCCUUUACUAAUUUCUGUCCCCAGAAACUGCUUGGAAGGAAACUCCCUGCCACCUAAGGGCAGAGUGGGACACGAUGGCCUCCAGGCAAAAAUGGAACCCAGCCCUUGGGCGGGUUUCACCACGAGGAAGGGGCCCCGACUUUCUUGUUUCUAAUGGUGGCAUCGGAGCACUCUGCUUCUGACGUAUCACAGUCCGAGUCCCCAAACUGUAGCGGAUUCUGGGAGAAAAGUGAGAGACAGACGGAAAAACGUCAGCACAGAUCCAGCAACAGGCAACUGCUUUACAAUAGCGAUUUUAUCUUCUGAUCAAGAGAUGGAAAAUUAAGCAUAUUGAAUCGUGUUUGACAUUUAUAGUGCUGACCUGAGACUUGAAGUAGGUCUCCUGAGGAGCUCCUAGGACAUCAGCACUGGCAAUGUCGAGGUGUAGGAGGAUCUGACGAAAUGAAGGCCUAUUCCUGGGCUUGCCUUGCCUGAAAUUGAUGAAAAUCAUGGAUGGGACAUGUGAAUAAACGAGAACGGCAAGAAUACUCUAAAAUUGUACUUUUGGGCAAUCCUGUGUGGUGCAUUGUUAGCAUUUAUCCUGAAGUAUAAAUGCAACAAAACACAUUUUUAAAAACAAUAUUUUAAACAGACGUGGUGGGGAAAGAUGCUACUAAAAAGAAUACAUGAUCCACAUUCACCAUGUUUGUUUCAUGAGGAUUUUGAAGCCAUCCGGGCAGGUGGAGGGGACAGGAAGGUGGAGACUGUUGCUGCCAACACCCCAAAUGAUGGCCGAGGAGUCUACAUCUUUGUAGGGAAUCUCUCCGGUCAGAAGUUCCCACAACACAACUCCAAAUGACCUGCAACACACAAAUGAAUUUCCGCAGGUGUUUAAUGUCCGUCUCCUUCUGCUCGCGCACCUUCUUGAUGGCCACCUCCUCCGAGCGGAACUUGCCCAGGAAGACGGCUCCUUGUGCACCGCUGCCCAACCACUGCAACUCUGAAAUCUCCUCAAAUGGAACCUCCCACAUGUCUGGAAACAAAUAAUACAAAA